rfam:Pteropus alecto contig35552, whole genome shotgun sequence.
GGCUCCAUAGUGUAGUGGUUAGCACAUCUGCUUUACAUGCAGAAGGUCCUGGGUUCGCACCCCAGGUGGAGCCA